GCAGAGGAGCUUGGCUCUGGAUCCCAAGACUUCUUAUUCACUCCUCAACAUGGAGUUGAAACUGAGCUUAAUUUUCAUUUUUGCCCUUUUAAAAGAUGUCCAUUGUGAAGUGCAACUGGUGGAGACUGGAGGAGGCUUGGUGAAACCUGGGAGUUCUCUCACACUCUCUUGUGCAGCCUCAGGAUUUGAUUUCAGUAGCUACUGGAUGUACUGGUUUCGACAGACACCUGGGAAGGCUCUGGAGUGGAUCGGAAAUAUUAAAUAUGAUGGCAGUGCAACAAACUACGCACCAUCCAUAAAGGGUCGAUUCACUAUCUCCAGAGACAAUUCCAAGAGCACCCUGUACUUGCAGAUGAGCAAUGUGAGAUCUGAGGACACGGCCACUUAUUACUGUACAAGAGACACAAUGAAUGAACUGCAGUGUGAGACCAGACAUAAACCUCACUGUCAUACCACUCUGAACCACCAGGGGGUGCACAGUACAUGCAGAACUGUGGUUCAGACCAGAUUAUAA